AAAGUACUCCCUCCGUCCCAAAAUUCUUGUCUUAGAUUUGUCUAGAUACGGAUGUAUCAAGUCACAUUUUAGUAUUAGAUACAUCCAUAUCUAGACAAAUCUAAGACAAGAAAUUUGGGACAGAGGGAGUAGUUG
rfam:Triticum aestivum genome assembly, contig: Triticum_aestivum_CS42_TGACv1_scaffold_443749_5DL